UAUAGGUUUAUGAUUGAGAUUAUUAUGUGUUUAAAGUGUUUAUUAUUUACGUAUUUGCUUAGACUGUUGUUUACUAUGUGAUUAUAGUAUGAUUAUUUCAUACCUACUGUAACUUAAUUGAAUUUAUUUUGAAUUUUCUAUAUAGUUUUUGGAAAUAACAAUUCAACUGCCGCAUUCCAGUAUACAGAUUACAAAUCUCAACAGCUCGCCGCAGCUGAGGUUUUCGGAUAAAAUGUUUUAAGAAAAAUGAAAAGUAAUAUUGAAUCAUCAAAGUAAUUACUACCUACCUACAAUGUCAUGUUGCUCAAAUCUGUCAUAAGAACGAUGUAUAUUUACUGCCUACAGGCAACAUCUAGAACAUUCAAAUCUUCUUACAAACCAUUGGAGUUGUAUCAAGGAAAAAGGAACAACAUUGAAUAAGCUAAGUUACUACUACUUGUACAGGCUACUAUUAUCACACUUACACCUUCAUACAAACCAUACAAGUUCUGAUGUGUUGCAAUUGCUAUAAUGUAAUGGUUGUGGGAACAUCAGAAGCGAACUUGAAUUGAACAAAGAAAACAAUUCUGACUCAAAGCCUGGAGAAAUAUUGAUUCUGGUCUAUGAUAGUGCGACGAGGAUGGUCUCCUAAAAAAAAAUUAAGGAAAGCGGGGAUUUUACGUAAAAACAGUUUACAACCAAAUUAAUCGAUUUAGUUUUUUUGGUGAACUAAGAAACUAAUGACCGUAGAUACUUCAAAUCUUCACCGGUUCUUUAUAUAACUUUUUAUAUGCAUAAUAUAAUAUAUACACAAUAAAUAUUUUGAGUUGUUUUGAGCUAUUUAUAGAAAUAAAAAAAUUUGAAUUUUUAAUUGUUUUUAAAAAAUGAUUGUUCUUUGAAAUUUUUUGCUCAUCAAAUAACUUGUAAAAUCUAAUACAAUGUACUUCAUCAGUUUUUUGUUAGUGGAAAUUAUAGUAAAUUAAAUUUGUUCAA